GCCGUGAUCGUAUAGUGGUUAGUACACUACUUUGUGGCCGCAACAACCCAGGUUCGAAUCCUAGUCACGGCA
rfam:Nematostella vectensis strain CH2 x CH6 NEMVEscaffold_159_Cont16289, whole genome shotgun sequence.